rnacentral:tRNA from 1 species
AGUAAGGUAGAGCAAUGGUAGCUUAUCGGGCUCAUAACCCGAAUGUUAUAGGUUCAAGUCCUAUCCUUACAA